UUUCGUCCAUUGAGGACAAUGUCCUGUUUAAGUGUGGGGUGAAUUAGGAUGCUUCUAAAAUUUUGGGUACUUAACUUGGGGCGUGGACUGGAGACUGGUUACUUCCGACUCCGGCUAAGGGUGAUUAUUCUCCCCAUUUGGAAAAAGACGCUAUCUAAAAAAGCCAUAAAAACAAAGAAAGAAAAGCAGAGAAAAAAAAAGAAAUAACAUUUCAACAUUCGAGCGUUAUUAUAGUAGUAUAUUGAUAGUGCUAGAAUUUGUAGUGAUU
rnacentral:lncRNA from 1 species